rnacentral:lncRNA from 1 species
UAAAACUUAAUCUCUGAUCUUAAAACUAUUUUUCUGCCAGUCCUUUUAUCUUAAGAUGUUAACUCUUUCUCUUAAAUAUUUACAUUCUAGGAAUCUGUGCUGAAGGAAAAGGCAUUUAUUUCAAACCCAAAGACAGAUCCUAAAGACAAUGGAGAUAUUAAUCCAUGCGACAGCAAGUUCACAGUGAAAGGCUUGGGGAUGCUUUCUACUUGGUGUAACUUAUGCCUGGUUCAGGCAGAAAAUACUCUUCAAGGAACUGGUGAUGCUACAUUAUCCUUAAAACACCGAGAGAAAGAAUCUUUGAGAGUGGAGAAAGCAUACAAGAAGCAGAGAAGUCAUGAAAUGCUGAGAGAAGAGCAGGACAUCUGCAGUCCAUUUCAGGCAUGUGGCAAGCUUAUAAUUUAUCUUAACUCAGUUUUUUCUUAUGUAAAAUUUCAACAGAAGAAAUCAGCGCUAUUG